rnacentral:rRNA from 1 species
AUUGAACGCUGGCGGCAGGCCUAACACAUGCAAGUCGAGCGGUAGCACAGAGAGCUUGCUCUCGGGUGACGAGCGGCGGACGGGUGAGUAAUGUCUGGGAAACUGCCUGAUGGAGGGGGAUAACUACUGGAAACGGUAGCUAAUACCGCAUAACGUCGCAAGACCAAAGUGGGGGACCUUCGGGCCUCAUGCCAUCAGAUGUGCCCAGAUGGGAUUAGCUGGUAGGUGGGGUAACGGCUCACCUAGGCGACGAUCCCUAGCUGGUCUGAGAGGAUGACCAGCCACACUGGAACGGAGAGACGGUCCAGACUCCUACGGGAGGCAGCAGUGGGGAAUAUUGCACAAUGGGCGCAAGCCUGAUGCAGCCAUGCCGCGUGUGUGAAGAAGGCCUUCGGGUUGUAAAGCACUUUCAGCGGGGAGGAAGGCAUAAAGGUUAAUAACCUUAGUGAUUGACGUUACCCGCAGAAGAAGCACCGGCUAACUCCGUGCCAGCCGCCGCCGUAAAAC